AAGUGGCGAAAGGGGCAGUAAUGCGUGGGUAACCUACCUUGGGGCCUGGCAUAGCCGUCCUAACGGACGGGUAAUUCCAGAUGAUGUGCGCAAGCACCAAAGGUUUACCACCCUUUGAGGGGCCCACGUGGUAUUAGCUAGUUGGUGAGGUAACGGCUCACCAAGGCAAAGAUGCCUAGCGGGUGUGAGAGCACGACCCGCGCCACUGGCACUGUGACACUGGCCAGACUCCUACGGGAGGCUGCAGUCGAGGAUCUUCGGCAAUGGGCGCAAGCCUGACCGAGCGACGCCGCGUGCGCGAUGAAGGCCUUCGGGUUGUAAAGCGCUGUCGAGGGGGAGAAAGCCGCAAGGUUGAUCUAUCCCAGGAGGAAGCACGGGCUAAGUUCGUGCCAGCAGCCGCGGUAAGACGAACCGUGCAAACGUUUUUCGGAUUCACUGGGCUUAAAGGGCGCGUAGGCGGGCGAUCAAGUCAGGGGUGAAAUACUUCAGCUUAACUGGAGAACAGCCCUUGAUACUGGUUGUCUCGAGGGAGGUAGGGGCAUGUGGAACUUCCGGUGGAGCGGUGAAAUGCGUAGAUAUCGGAAGGAACGCCGGUGGCGAAAGCGACGUGCUGGACCUCUUC
rnacentral:rRNA from 1 species